rnacentral:rRNA from 1 species
UAGCUAGUUGGUGAGGUAAAGGCUUACCAAGGCGACGAUCUGUAGCGGGUCUGAGAGGAUGAUCCGCCACACUGGAACUGAGACACGGUCCAGACUCCUACGGGAGGCAGCAGUGGGGAAUUUUGGACAAUGGGGGCAACCCUGAUCCAGCCAUGCCGCGUGAGUGAAGAAGGCCUUCGGGUUGUAAAGCUCUUUCGGCCGGGAAGAAAUCGCAUGGGCCAAUACCCUGUGUGGAUGACGGUACCGGAAUAAGAAGCACCGGCUAACUACGUGCCAGCAGCCGCGGUAAUACGUAGGGUGCGAGCGUUAAUCGGAAUUACUGGGCGUAAAGCGUGCGCAGGCGGUUUUGUAAGACAGGCGUGAAAUCCCCGGGCUUAACCUGGGAACUGCGUUUGUGACUGCAAGGCUAGAGUACGGCAGAGGGGGGUGGAAUUCCACGUCUAGCAGUGAAAUGCGUAGAGAUGUGGAGGAACACCAAUGGCGAAGGCAGCCCCCUGGGUCGAUACUGACGCUCAUGCACGAAAGCGUGGGUAGCAAACAGGAUUAGAUACCCUGGUAGUCCACGCCCUAAACUAUGUCAACUAGGUGUUGGGUGGGUAAAACCAUUUAGUACCGUAGCUAACGCGUGAAGUUGACCGCCUGGGGAGUACGGCCGCAAGGUUAAAACUCAAAGGAAUUGACGGGGACCCGCACAAGCGGUGGAUGAUGUGGAUUAAUUCGAUGCAACGCGAAAAACCUUACCUACCCUUGACAUGCCAGGAACUUGCCAGAGAUGGCUUGGUGCCCGAAAGGGAGCCUGGACACAGGUGCUGCAUGGCUGUCGUCAGCUCGUGUCGUGAGAUGUUGGGUUAAGUCCCGCAACGAGCGCAACCCUUGUCGUUAAUUGCCAUCAUUUAGUUGGGCACUUUAACGAGACUGCCGGUGACAAACCGGAGGAAGGUGGGGAUGACGUCAAGUCCUCAUGGCCCUUAUGGGUAGGGCUUCACACGUCAUACAAUGGUCGGUACAAAGGGUUGCCAAGCCGCGAGGCGGAGCCAAUCCCAGAAAGCCGAUCGUAGUCCGGAUUGCAGGCUGCAACUCGCCUGCAUGAAGUCGGAAUCGCUAGUAAUCGUGGAUCAGCAUGUCACGGUGAAUACGUUCCCGGGUCUUGUACACACCGCCCGUCACACCAUGGGAGCGGGUUCCGCCAGAAGUAGGUAGCCUAACCGCAAGGGGGGCGCUUACCACGGCGGGGUUCGUGACUGGGGUGAAGUCGGAACAAGGUAGCCGUAGGGGAACCUGCGGCUG